AUUGAACGCUGGCGGCAUGCCUUACACAUGCAAGUCGAACGGCAGCGGGGACUUCGGUCCGCCGGCGAGUGGCGAACGGGUGAGUAAUACAUCGGAACGUACCUAUUAGUGGGGGAUAACUAAGCGAAAGUUUAGCUAAUACCGCAUACGACCUGAGGGUGAAAGCGGGGGAUCUUCGGACCUCGCGCUAAUAGAGCGGCCGAUGGCUGAUUAGCUAGUUGGUGAGGUAAAGGCUCACCAAGGCGACGAUCAGUAGCGGGUCUUAGAGGACGAUCCGCCAAACUGGAACUGAGACACGGUCCAGACUCCUACGGGAGGCAGCAGUGGGGAAUCUUGGACAAUGGGCGAAAGCCUGAUCCAGCAAUGCCGCGUGGGUGAAGAAGGCCUUCGGGUUGUAAAGCCCUUUUGUACGGGAGCAAAUCCUUGUCACUAAUACUGGCUGGGGAUGAGAGUACCGUAAGAAUCAGCACCGGCUAACUACGUGCCAGCAGCCGCCGUAA
rnacentral:rRNA from 1 species